rnacentral:rRNA from 1 species
AAUGAACGUUGGCGGCGUGGAUUAGGCAUGCAAGUCGAGCGCGAACCCCGCAAGGGGUGAAAGCGGCGAAAGGGAGAGUAACGCGUGGGUAUUUACCCUCGAGACUGGGAUAGCUGCGGGAACCUGCAGGUAAUACCAGAUGACGUCCCCGGACCAAAGGUGUGAUUCCGCCUGAGGAUAAGCCCGCGUCCUAUUAGCUAGUUGGUGAGGUAAUGGCUCACCAAGGCAAUGAUGGGUACUGGGUGUGAGAGCACGACCCAGCUCACUAGGACUGAGACACUGCCCAGACACCUACGGGUGGCUGCAGUCGAGAAUCUUCGGCAAUGGGCGCAAGCCUGACCGAGCGACGCCGCGUGUGGGAUGAAGGCCUUCGGGUUGUAAACCGCUGUCAGAGGGGAGGAAUGGGCGGAGGGUAAUCUCUUCGUUUUGACCUAUCCUCAGAGGAAGUACGGGCUAAGUUCGUGCCAGCCGCCGCGGUAA